rnacentral:lncRNA from 1 species
GGCCUGGGUCCUAGAAAGCUUAGGAUCCUAUGCAAAACCCUACUCUAACUCAUUUCAAGUGUCUGGAAAUGUAGUACAUGCCGUGGAUGUACGUCAGGCUUUCAUAGUACUUUUCUGACCACGGUUUUCUGGAGUUUUUUCGUAUGGAGUUUGUAAGCUUCCUGACAUGGAUUAUAACUGUACUUGAUGGAGCACAGUUAUAAUAGCUGCUUUAGAGUCCUUGAUAAUUCCCACAUCUGAGUCAUCUCAAGUUAUUUUUGGCAGAUUUUGAUGGAUGUACAUUGAUGGAUAGCCACGUGGAUCCAGAAAAUAAAGACGGCGUCUCGCUGUGUUACCCAGGCUGGAGUGCAGUGGCGCGAUCUCAGCUCACUGCAACCUCACCUCCCGGGUUCAAGUGAUUCCUCUGCCUCAGCCUCCGGAGUAGCUGGGACUACAGGUGCGUGCCACCAUGCCUGGCUCAUUUUUUUUGUAUUUUAGUAGAGACGGGGUUUCACCAUGUUGGCCAGGAUGGCCUCGAUUUCCUGACCUUGUGAUCCGCCCGCCUCGGCCUUCCAAAGCGCUGGGAUUACAGUCAUGAGCCACCGUGCCCGGCCAAAUGUAUCUAUUUUUUAAUAGUUUGUACUUGUUGUUCUCUAUUUAAGAAAUGUUGUUUGCCUAUCUGAAAACCAAAAAAACAAACAAACAAACAAAAAAAAA